AACGUAGGAGACAAACGUUAUCCGGAGUUACUGGGCGUAAAGGGCGUGCAGGCGGUUGAUUAAGUCUAGCGUGAAAGCUCCCGGCUAAACCGGGAGAGGUCGUUGGAUACUGGUUGACUAGAGGACGGUAGAGGCGAGUGGAAUUCCGGGUGUAGUGGUGAAAUGCGUAGAGAUCCGGAGGAACACCAGUGGCGAAGGCGACUCGCUGGGCCGUACCUGACGCUAAGACGCGACAGCAUGGGGAGCGAACAGG
rnacentral:rRNA from 1 species